UAUGGAUCUGGCAAGGGAUAUUACGGGUAUAUUUUGUUCGAUUGCUAAAAUUAGCUGCAACACUGCAGGAUGAAAGUGUGACUUCUCAUCAUGAGGAGAGCCGUAAAAAGUCUUUCCUGCUCUUUUUCUCCGUGAGGUGUAACCGCAUCGACUGCAUCAUGCCAGACGCUGUCAUUAGUGAGAGGAAAGACUGAGAUCACCGGCGAAAAGAACAACUGCAGCUUCAAUUUAGGGGGAAAAAGCCGAAAGGAAAGAUCUGAUGGAAAAUAUUAAUGGACAGAGAUCGUCCUGUUCGUGAGGCGUCACUUCAUCAAGUCUAGAUUGCGUGGAUGAUUUCAAGCGUUUGCGAAUCGGGAAAACACAUCACAGCGCUUGGGAUGGUUCAGACGCCCUUCAAAAGCAAUAUUCGCUCUUAAUGCAUCGUUUCGGUCGCAGACUCACUUGGAAAGGCGCGUUUUUGCCUGCGGAAAAUGCAUAACGCUUUAAACUCUUUUGCAGCCUUUCAUGACUGGACGUUCGAGUUAAAUCCUGACUUGGGCGUCAAAGUGAGAUCAAAAGGGAUCUGAAUGUCUUUGCAUUUGAUACUUAAACGUCAAACCGGGUGUCAUUUGUUAAAAGAAGUGCACUUUUCGGGUCAAAGCAUCUCACGUUUUCGUAAAUUUUAUAUAGUCAAACAACAGAUGUUCUUUAGAAUUACUGAUUAAUAAACAUGCCAAAUAAGUCCAUAGAUGAACUAAACUCUUCUAGCGAACCGAUUUUGAGGACAGCAUUAAAAGAAAACCACUAAAAAUGAAAGAAAAGCGGGUCGCAAGCACUUGCUUUGAUAUUUCGUUAUCAAAUGACGUUCAGACAUUUUUUAUCGCGGCUUUACGGUCUCUUUUUUUGGGGCCUGUGCGUGUAAGACUGACGGGCCACAUCCUCUGAUCAGCAUCUAAAUGACUUGUCUGUCUGACUCGGUAACACUCAGCUGCAAAGUCUCAUCUUGCACAGUUCGGGGAAAAACCUGAAAAAAGAACCAUACCACAAACAGUCAGUGCUCUGUAAGUAACAGAGGUCUUGCAGCGUUAUCCGGGAUAUUUUAUUUUAAAGACAUAAACAUAACGCUCCUGGUUUGCAUAAGCUAGGAGUUCCCCUGCAUCUGGACAUGUUCAUGUCUUUUUUUUUUUUAUGCUGACAUUUGUAUUGACAAUUGUGAGGAACUGGAACCGUUCCGUCGACCGGUUACGAUGCUGUAAAUGUUCCUCCGUGAAUGUUUAGAGGGAAAACAGUCGGAAGAGAACGCGAAGUGACAUGUCACAACUGGAGUAUAUGUUUCUGCUUUAAAAACUCGGAAACCGACGAGUCGUCGCAGGAAAGAUUGCCGUAAUGGAGGUGAAACGAAGAGCAAACGGAGAGCGAUUUUCUUAAGAAAGGCCUUAGUCUCUUCUAGAGCAGUAAUCUUCUCCAAAUUGAAUGCAAUUCAUUUUAUAGCUUACUCUGUGUCAAUAAUAGCGAGAAAACUUUGUCUUUGCAAUUUGUUGGAAGGAAGUAAACCCUUAAAAUACUAAAACUUUCCAACUGUCCGGACUCCUGGGACUUUAUCUGAGAGAAUGAGCGGUCCUGCAAGAUAUACUAGAUCCUUCACAGGUUCUGCCUGUUUUUUGUCGCUCUUAAAAUGUUACUUCAAGUGAGACAUGGGUUUUGAACAGAGCAACAUACUUAAGUUUUUUUUUUUUUUUUUUUUUUUUUUUUUUAUGGCACUCGGAGCGGACUGCGUGUCUUUCUGACCCCAUUUCAAACUGUCAUUGAAAAGCUAUUUUUAUAAGUCCACAGGAAGCCCAGUCACCCAGACGCUAGCAGAAGGAGGGGCCGGCCGCAGUGACCACGGACAACGUGAUGAAAAAAUCUCGUGCCCUUGAAGACACACACAUGCACUUUGCAUGUUAAACAGAUUAGCACAGGCAAGUUUACAUGUGGCAUCAUUUACUCACUUUUAAACCUGUUGGACUUUCUUUCUUUAAUGAAAGCCAAACAAAAGAUGUUCACGCUGCAAGAAGAAACAAAAUUCCCAUUAUAUGGCAAAACUGUUACAUACUAUUUGCCGCGAUUUCCAGCUGAAAAUAACACCAGUUGCUGUAAAACACCAACAACCUUUAUUCUGUUUCACGCAAAUUAUGAAGACUGAUUUAUAAGGAUUUAUUUUCACACAUUUCACCGCUCAAUGCUGUGUCAUGAGCUCAAACCACUUUGGCCAUGUUCAUUUUGAUAUUUACUUCACGUGACCAGCAACAUAUGCAUGGCUUUCCCGAAGUAAACUUGCCCAGGAGCUCACCUGAUAGAGCAACGCGCAGCUCUCAGAUGUGAGGAGUCACAUAAAUACAGCAUUAACAUUUUGACGGCACUCGCGACACGUAUUUCCUGCCGCAAUACACAAAACAACCAACCACUUAGCAGCACUCAGGGGAUGUUAAAACCAAUGUUGUAAACCUCGUAAGAUUCACAAGAUAAAACUGAAUAAUCUUUAGCGCCACUCAAUAUUAAAAAUUGCACAAAAGUAACAUAAUCAAGUCACUUAGCUCACAUGGUUUUCUCAAAGAUAGAAAUAAACAAAUGCUAACAGAAAGUUUGUUCAGAGUUAGCAGGCGAAUGUCUUCAUUAGCGCUUUAUCUGUGCACUUUUCAUCUGAUUUUAUUUCUGAAACGUUUUAUUUGGGCCUUUGACUUAAUAUAUGUGUAUACGUUCAGAACGCUAUGAAGGGUAUUCAGAAGUUGAAGUUCCCGUAACGUUUGCAAAGUUCUAAAAUGGAAUGUACGUUCAUAUCAUACCUUUUCAAAUGUUUUGAAUAGUCGGAGAACAUUCUGAAAUAAGACUGAUGGGAACUGUAUGUCUGUAGAACGUAUUUAUGUAAUCCCGGCCAGUAUUUUAAGAGUGUAUAAUGUUCGCUGUAUGGAAAAGAGCAGCGCUGACGUUCUCCUAAACAUGUUUCUUGUUUUACAGAAGAAAGUCCUACAGGUUCGUAAUGACACAAGGGUGAGUGAACGAUGACAAAACUUUCAUUUUGGGCUGAACUCUCCCCCUUUUUUUUUUUUUUUUUUUUUUUUUUUUCUCUCCCGGCUGUUUGCUAUCUGUCUGCUGUGUUGUUUGCUGUUCUCACAGAGCCGCGGCGCAUGAUGUGUUAGGACAGAUAUAGAAAUGUAGGACCCCACCUCAGACAGAAUGACUUAAGCCCGGACCCUCCUCUUCUGCCGGCCAGGGGAAUUCCUGGCAGAGUGAUUUUUAAACCUAAUGACUGAAUCACAUUGCCAGGGAUUUCCAAUGGCUCGUGUGAGGGACUCGACUCGGAGACUGCAGACACGCCGUAUGCAUUGCAAACACACACACACACACCUGAACACGGGAGAGCCUAAUCCUGGAGGAAUGCAGACAUGAGUUAGUGGUGACAGAAACACCAAUUCACUUGCAUUUCUAUGCGGGCUGUAUGGUGUCAGGACUUAACCCACUUGUGAACACUGCAUUAAACUUCUUUGUUCACAGUGGUUAAGUUCUGCCAUCCUGGGACCCAAAUCACAAAAGGAGAAGCAAAGUCGAUAUUGUCGUUAAACUGAAUGCAUGCACACGGUGAUAUUCUCAUUGCAUAAUGUUCCUGAAAAACUGCAUUAAAGAUGCACUAGAGACUAAUUCUAGGUUUGACUCUUCUUGUUGUCGUCAAUCUUACGCUGUUGUGACAGGCCUGUUUUUUUAUCUCGUCCGAAGUAAUCUUCAUCUCAGGUGUUAAGCGCUAUAUACAACAAACGGGCCAUAGCCUGAAAAUAAUAAUAAUGCUAGGAUAAACAUCUUUAGCUGGUACAGGAACGAAUUCCUGCCAAAACAAUGUUUUGCGAAAAUUGCUAAAGGCCAGGAGGCUCUGAAAAAAGUUAUUUUAAUUAAUAAAAAUAAUUUUAGAUUAUUUAAAAGUAGUUUUUUUAAUAAGAUUGUUAUAUAUACGAUUUAUUUAGUUAAAUAUUUAUUUAUAUAUUGAUGAAUUCAACGUUGGUGCUUUAUGUCAAUAAUUUUGUCAUUUAUUUGGGGCCUUUAGACCACCGUUGAAUCAAGCAGGAUAUCUGAAAUUCAUUUAAACUUAACCAUUAACUACAUAAAUUAAUAAAUGACUGGUUGAUGUGAAUCCCAUGUCUUAACCAUAUCACAGAAACCCAAAACGUGAUGCAAAUUUCAGUUUUUUAGACCGUAAAAAAGAUAUUGCAUAUGUCUUUUGUAAGUUUGCAACUAUUAAUCCUGUUAGUGAUGCUAGAAAAUGUAUGCAAAGUUAAAAAAAAUAUGAAAAUCAACUUUGAGUUCUCAGCGAAAUCAGGCAAGUAGUAAAGCUGCAAAGAGGCCGUAUCGCUGGUACCUUAAUUCAAACCGCCUCAAAAAUAAAUAAAUUAAUUUAAAAAUUGGCAUAAACAGCGAAUACAAACUUGAUGUCAAAGUCCGCCAACAGGGAUGUUUGGGACAGUUGCUAAGUGACCGAACCGAAUGUGAACUUCAACAAAACCUCUUCAAAUAGACGCCACACAAAAGCUGAAUUUAUGGCAGGGCAGCCAUUCAGAAACUGUUUGUAACCAAGGCCCAAACCAUGCAUUAACACAAAACAAUGGAAAAAAUGGUCCAGUGACUCAUGCUUUACCGUAUUUCCUGCAUCCUGCAAGGUUUAUCUUACGAGAAAGCCAAAGGAUGCCUGCAGCCCUACAGAUGUGAAACGUGACGGGGGAUCUGUGAGCACACGGCCCGGGUCUCACACGAACCCUCAGUGUCUCUGUCUGUCUCUGGGCUGGUCUCCUGUGCCUGCUGUGCUGAUAAUCAGUGGAUGGCUGUAGCUGGCUCAGUUCAGCAGGAACAGGGGUCUGGUCUUCUCUCUGUGGCCUUCUGCUGCACACACACUCAGACACAGAGAGAGGACUCACUGCUCAACACCGUAAGUCACAGGUAGGAAAACACAAAUGACAUCUCAUUUUUCACGACGCCGUCACAUUUUGCACAGAUGUAAUAGCGGUUUAGUGUUAUUGAGCAACUCAAACGGAUUCAAUCGUGUGAUAAUAUGUAUUGUCAAUUUUAACCCAAAUAAAAGCACUUUCAAAAACA